AGAGUUUGAUCAUGGCUCAGAUUGAACGCUGGCGGCAGGCCUAACACAUGCAAGUCGAACGGUAACAGGAAGCAGCUUGCUGCUUCGCUGACGAGUGGCGGACGGGUGAGUAAUGUCUGGGAAACUGCCUGAUGGAGGGGGAUAACUACUGGAAACGGUAGCUAAUACCGCAUAACGUCGCAAGACCAAAGAGGGGGACCUUCGGGCCUCUUGCCAUCGGAUGUGCCCAGAUGGGAUUAGCUNAGGCGACGAUCCCUAGCUGGUCUGAGAGGAUGACCAGCCACACUGGAACUGAGACACGGUCCAGACUCCUACGGGAGGCAGCAGUGGGGAAUAUUGCACAAUGGGCGCAAGCCUGAUGCAGCCAUGCCGCGUGUAUGAAGAAGGCCUUCGGGUUGUAAAGUACUUUCAGCGGGGAGGAAGGGAGUAAAGUUAAUACCUUUGCUCAUUGACGUUACCCGCAGAAGAAGCACCGGCUAACUCCGUGCCAGCAGCCGCGGUAAUACGGAGGGUGCAAGCGUUAAUCGGAAUUACUGGGCGUAAAGCGCACGCAGGCGGUUUGUUAAGUCAGAUGUGAAAUCCCCGGGCUCAACCUGGGAACUGCAUCUGAUACUGGCAAGCUUGAGUCUCGUAGAGGGGGGUAGAAUUCCAGGUGUAGCGGUGAAAUGCGUAGAGAUCUGGAGGAAUACCGGUGGCGAAGGCGGCCCCCUGGACGAAGACUGACGCUCAGGUGCGAAAGCGUGGGGAGCAAACAGGAUUAGAUACCCUGGUAGUCCACGCCGUAAACGAUGUCGACUUGGAGGUUGUGCCCUUGAGGCGUGGCUUCCGGAGCUAACGCGUUAAGUCGACCGCCUGGGGAGUACGGCCGCAAGGUUAAAACUCAAAUGAAUUGACGGGGGCCCGCACAAGCGGUGGAGCAUGUGGUUUAAUUCGAUGCAACGCGAAGAACCUUACCUGGUCUUGACAUCCACGGAAGUUUUCAGAGAUGAGAAUGUGCCUUCGGGAACCGUGAGACAGGUGCUGCAUGGCUGUCGUCAGCUCGUGUUGUGAAAUGUUGGGUUAAGUCCCGCAACGAGCGCAACCCUUAUCCUUUGUUGCCAGCGGUCCGGCCGGGAACUCAAAGGAGACUGCCAGUGAUAAACUGGAGGAAGGUGGGGAUGACGUCAAGUCAUCAUGGCCUUUACGACCAGGGCUACACACGUGCUACAAUGGCGCAUACAAAGAGAAGCGACCUCGCGAGAGCAAGCGGACCUCAUAAAGUGCGUCGUAGUCCGGAUUGGAGUCUGCAACUCGACUCCAUGAAGUCGGAAUCGCUAGUAAUCGUGGAUCAGAAUGCCACGGUGAAUACGUUCCCGGGCCUUGUACACACCGCCCGUCACACCAUGGGAGUGGGUUGCAAAAGAAGUAGGUAGCUUAACCUUCGGGAGGGCGCUUACCACUUUGUGAUUCAUGACUGGGGUGAAGUCGUAACAAGGUAACCGUAGGGGAACCUGCGGUUGGAUCACCU
rnacentral:rRNA from 1 species